UACGAAGGGGGGCAAGCGUUGUUCGGAAUUACUGGGCGUAAAGAGUGUGUAGGCGGUGCUCUAAGUCUGUUGUGAAAUCUCCCGGCUCAACUGGGAGGGGUCAUUCGAUACUGGCGGGCUCGAGGCCGGUAGGGGGAAGCGGAAUUCCCGGUGUAGUGGUGGAAUGCGUAGAUAUCGGGAGGAACACCAGUGGCGAAGGCGGGCUUCCUGGACCGGUUCUGACAC
rnacentral:rRNA from 1 species